AGACACGCUCCUGGGAGAGAACAGCUCACAUUUGGCUCACGCUUCUCAUAUGCCGAGCGCUCUGCUGUGUUACCUCAGUGACUUUCACUGACUCCCAAGGAAGUGAUGGGGAUGGGGAAACUGGAAUUCAAACCCAUUUCCAACUCCCUCCGGAUCUCGAGAGAUUAACCACAGACACAACUUUUCCUGAACACAGAACAAGAAGGCAAAAGGAAGCAGAGGUCCCUGUUUUCAGGAGAGGACAGGAGAAAGGUGCCAGUACCCUGGCCUUUGGUUAUAUUUCCCUUUCCCUCUUCAGUAACACAUUUCUUGGCAGGACAUCUUUUCUGGAAAACCAGACUUGAGCUUGGAGUGGCUCAACAGCCCUUGCUGUAGCUAGGUUUGAUGGAGAAGCUGAGAGAGCUGCCUGCACCCGGGUAGGAGGCUCUGUCAUGGAGGGGCUCAGGCCAUUGCAGGUUUAGGGCCUAAAUGUUGUGCAAAUAUUUGCCCAACAACUCCCAGUGUGCCUUGGAACAAGCAGCAGGAGCGGCCCUGGCUGAGUCCCUGAAGAGAAACGUGGAUGUGAUGACUUUGAAUGGCUCCCAGCUUCUACUUCCUCAUAAUUUGCCAGGAUCUCUGUCGCCAACGAGCCUGGUUACAAGGAGAGGGGGCUCCGUGCUAGCCUGCUAGGCAUGAUGGAAUCUUCCGCAUUCUCCAGAUGAAGCCCGCACACCCAUGCCUUCAUCAAGCAGCAGGCACUGCCAAUGCGUUUUUGAGCUACAGAUUUGUAUUCCCAGCAAUCUGUGAGAUUCUCCCCCUAGAUCCUCGCAAAGCUUCUGAAUUUAUCGAGUUCAAAACAGAACACCCAAACUGGCUUGUCUUGUAUUCUCUUUCAGUUAAGGCUGCCUUCCCUAGUCCCCCUAGUUAGAAACCAUUGGCUCAUCCUUAACCCUCUGCUGCUCUGCCCUCUCCCUCCCGAGUCUGAUUGAUUCUCCCUCCUAGCUCUCCCCUCAGUGCCUGGAGUGCAUGGGUCUGACCCAAUGGGUGGUUGGCAGGGGUAGGAGUGGGAGUUGGGAGGAGCACAUGACCCAAGCUGAGCUCAUUAGAUCCCAGGGUUUUUCUAGCUGCAGCAGGCUCUUUUCUCUCUAGAUGCUUGCUGGAAGGCUGGGAAUCCAGAGGGGCCUGUGGCCAUGCAUCUGCAGCCUGGCAAAGCCUGCCUGCAGCAGCGAGGGGACAUGCUGCAGGGAGAAGCCAUGAUGAGUGGUGGAGAGAGACUUCCUGAGGGGACAGAGCUCCCAGUACAGCUGUCCCCAAACCAGGUCCACCCCCUGCCCCCAUCCAUCCUUCACAGGCCACCAGGAUUCUUUUCCAUGUUCUCCAACUUUUUGUUUUAAAAAAAUCCAACUACAAAGAAGUUGACAGAAUAAUUCAGUGAAUACCUACAUACCCUUCACCUAGAUUCACCAGUUAUUAGCAUUUAGUGACAGUUAUGUUCUCUUUUUCCCUAUAUAUUCAUGUAUGUGUGUUUUUUCUGAACCAUUUGAAAAUAAGUUGCUGAUGCCAUGACACUUCUCCCCUACAUAUUUCUGCAUGUAUUGCCUAAGAAUGCGAACAUUUUCCCCACAGUCACAAUACCGUGAUCACAUUCAAGAAAUUUAACAGGGCUGGGCGCUGUGGCUCAUGCCUAUAAUCCCAGCACUUUGGGAGGCCAAGGCAGGUGGAUCACGAGGUCAGGAGUUCAAGACCAGCCUGGCCAACAUGAAACCCCAUCUGUACUAAAAAUACAAAAAAUUAGUCAGGCGUGGUGGCAGGCACCUCUAAUCCCAGCUACUUGGGAGGCUGAGGCAGGAGAAUCGCUUGAAACCAGAAGGCAGAGGUUGCAGUGAGCCAAGAUCACGCCACUGCACUCCAGCCUGGUCAAUAAGAUUGAAACUCUGUCUAAAAAAAAAAGGAAAAAAAAAGAAAAGAAAUAUUAACAAUGAUAUAAUAAUAUCUAAUAUUAAUAUAUAUCCACAUUCAAUUUUGCCAAGUGGAAUUUGUUUAUGGAUAUAAGAUAUUAUGAUAGUUUUUUUUCCCUUUUCAAUUCAAGAGCCAAUCAUGGAUAACAAAUUGCAUUUAGUUGUCUUAUCUGUUUAGCCCCCGUAACCUAGAAUUGUUUUCCUGUCCUUUUUUAUAUUUCAUCAUAUUAGCAUUUUUUGUAUCCU
rnacentral:lncRNA from 1 species